rnacentral:lncRNA from 1 species
UAUAUAGACCAGAUUGAGUAAACAUUAAAUAACAAAAAAGCAUUACAAAAAGUAUCAAUAGGUCAAAUAAACAGAAUAGUCGCAUAUAUAAAUGUGUAAAUUCCAAUUUGUAAUAUUCUUGUUUUCGUGAUCAGCAUUCAAACAAUGUUUUUUCAAUCAAAUAUAUUAAUAUUUUCACAAUCUGCUAAACAUCAUCGUCAUCAGCAGCAUAAUUGAUACUAGCAUAACUUGUCAUGGCUGCAAGAACUAUAUUUUACGCUAUUGUAGGAAGUACAGUUUUACUGAAGCGUUCAAAGCAAGAUAAAAUGAAGUUCGCAUUAUUGAUGUUGGUAUUUCUUGUCAUAGCCACAGGUAUUACGUAAUGAGUAGCUCACUGUCAGGUGCAUUGCUUUCAACAGUAUCGUGAUCAAUAAAGAAUCAUAAUUACUAGAUUAUUACAAGCGUUUAAAUGAAACUCUACUCGUUUCACUUGCACAAUAAUUAUCAAUAUAUUACAACAAAUAUACGCUUUAAUUCUUCUGUUAACUUUUAAUGUAUGUAUGUUUCUAUGGUCAUAGGUAAAAAAUUCAACAAGCGUUUCUGACAUAUUAUUUAUAAAGUACGUUAAUAAUGAGAGGUAUAAAAAAUUCCAUUUAUAAAUCAUUUGGAAUAAAAGUCAAACAACAUGGCUUAAUUCAAAGUAACGAAACAAUUCAAUAUAUGUUAAACCAUCAUUAGGUAAGAUGCUACAUUAGUCCAAAUUUGCAUUAUCAAACAACUGGCCACUUUGAAUCCUUAUGAUAACUACCGGCAAUUACCCAAGGGGUAUAAAAACCAAUGAUAUGAUUUUUACAACACUUGCUUUGAAACAUUUUUCAAUAUGUGUAUUAGUCAACUCAAUUUUGAAAGACAAGAAAUAUAAAACAUUAGAGGCCAAUAGGCUAUAGACCACAUUUAAGUGAACAAAACAUAUGAAAACGGGCAAUCAAUGAACUUCCAAAAAUGUCUAUGAAAUUUGGCAAGAGAACGAUCAGCGUUGGGUACAGAAAAUAUUACAUUUAACUGCAUUUAACAUUUAACGUCACACACAGCUAGUACACUUUUAGCAUAGAAAUCUAAAACAAAACGUACUUUUUGACGAAUGACACACGUAAUGAAAAGAAAAGGAGCAUGCCAAACAGAGUAGCUUAUACUUUAAUAAUCAUCAUGCACAACAUAUGUUUCAUUACUGGUUUGGUAAACUUCAACACUUUAAUUCUUGUUUGGAACGUAAACCUCCAGAUGUCCUAAAAUAUGUAUUGUUUUUAUGAUUAGUAAAUAGUGUGAUUUAUAGAUCUGUUUAACUUUUACAAGAUGGAGCAAGUUAAUGAAUGAUUGGUUUCCUAACUGAGGGUAUAUGUAAUAACUAUGAACUCUCAACAUAACAUUUCUUCAAGAGCAUUUAAACUAUGAUACUUCCGGAAAAAUGAAAUUAGAUUUAUUCAAAGCUGAGCACUUAACAGCUUUCUUUUUUAUACACAUAUUUAUAUUUAUUUUUAUUUCAUAUACAUUUCAAUACUAACUAUAUUUAAAGAUCUAAUAUUAACUUAUUCCUAGAUGAAGAAUAAGUAGAACAAGUAAUCAGACGUUAACAUGAUAUUCUAUAUAUAUAUAUAUAUAUAUAUAUAUAUAUAUAUAUAUAUAUAUAUAUAUAUAUAUAAUAUAUAUAUAUAUAUAUAUAUAUAUAUAUUAUAUAUGUGAUGUGUGUGUGUGUGUGUGUGUGUGUGUGGUAACAUGACAAAAUCAGCUUUAAAAAAAAUGUCGCAAUAUAAACUUUAUUUGCUACAGUUCAACAUUACUUUUUCGUAAAUCGAGCUCCAAAAUAUUUUGCAGUUAUAUCUUAAAAAUACGAAAGCUUACAGAUCGACCAAUAUAUUUCAAUUUCAAUGCAAUUCGAUUUUUCACGGACAUACAUUGUAUAUGAUUCACAUAAUCUUUGUAGUGUCGAUUGACACGGACCUUCGUUAAUAACAAAUAAGUGUUAUGUUACUUAUGUUCUCAAAACUUAACUGUUCGAAAUCAAAUGAAAAAACACAACAAUUCACUGAAAAGAAAACUAUUUGUCUGUUGUUUUAGAAGAAUUCUAAUGGUUAUAUUUUUCUUAUUUAGAUAACGUGUCUUCCCAAACUUGUCGUGACUGCAGACAUUGUGAUUUCACAACAAGACAAUAUGUUUGUUCAAGCUGUGGUGUGACUUACUAUAAUGAAUGUUUGAUGCAUUGCUAGUAAGUAUGACCUUCUAAAAAAGGAUCUAAAUGCAAGCAGAUCAUUAUUUUAUUGAUAUAUUUUUUCCCUUAAACCGCUAUUGACGGUUUAAACAAAACAUUUAAUCAUACACUUAUGAAUAUUAAACAAUGAAUUCGACAUGAGAACUAUUCAAUGACACUUCUUUUUAAAUUUCUCAGUAAUAAUGUUUAACAAUUGUCAUUCACCAAAAGCACAUUGAUAUUCUUCUUCAAUGAUGCUAGAUACCAAAAUAGUAAUUAAAGGAUAAACGUUUAGUCAAACACAGAGGAAGAAUAAGAGCUCUCUAUUAGAAAUAUAUUACAUAAUUCAAUUACUGCAAUCGAAUUGAAGCGCAAUUGAACAAAUCAUUAUUUUUUAUUUAACACAUAAAGCCAAAAUGUUCGGAAUCAAAACCUAAUACAUACUUGAAGGGCUGAUAUGACUGUAUUUGAAUCAAAGUAGAGCAGGUAAACUCAUCAUAGAAAUUAUCGUUUCGUAUUCAAAAGAUUUAGCAGCAACGCUCGAAUAAUAAAGUUUCAGAAGGUCUACAUACAAACUGACGUGCAGUUAAAUUAAUGCAUGUUCUAUUCCAACUGCAAUAUUACGAGUAAUUAAGGGCUGAUUUAAUUUGUAUCAUAAAAUUAUUAAAACAAGAAAUCUAGAAUCUACGAAAAUACUUUAUUUGCUCAAUCACAAUAAGUAUACUAAAACAGUAUGCUCUUCUCACAAUAGUUCAUAACAGGAGUCGAAGUAAUAUUUUUUUACAUUUUAUUUCAGUGGUCAAAAUUAUGGUUGCAGGGGUGUAUGUCCAUGUGGCGGUACACCUUAACAUGUAUGAUACACAGGUUAGAACAAAUGUUACAGAGUUAAAUUUUCAGAAUUGUUGUAAAGGAUAAAUAUAUGGAAUAAAUGACCUAUUUCAGAUGUCGAACCGUCCAAACCGGAAAUCAAAAUUAUAUUUACAGAUGUAUACUUUAAACAAACUAUUUUGUUUUGUCAAUAUUAAAUAACAUCAGAACUGGGUAGACAAAUUAAAAUAAAAAUGUGAAGAUGUGGUAUGAUUUCCAAUGAGAAAACUAUUCACUUUAGUUAAAAUAAACCAGAUGUAAGCAAAUAAAGGCAACCCUCAACAAUUAAUAACACCCAUACACAAAAUCUGAGACUACUCAUAAUUACUGAUAGCUUUUUUUUCAAAGCCACUUAACGCUUAUAAAGAAAUCAUGUGUCUAAGAAUAAUACAUCAAUAAUGACACGAACCGGAAAUAUUAUGGAUUUAGAGACGUCGUUUACGAUCAGAGAAAAUAUGACCAUGUACAAUGCCAAAAUUUUGGUAUCACUGGAUUGUAAUACCGUGCAUGUGCAUUUGGAGAAUUUUAUUUGAUAUAUAUUGUUAAUGAUUUAACGUAAACGACUGUCAAAAUAAAAUAGAUUAUUCACGAGAAGGUACAAUGUUUUCUUGAUAUUUAUAUUUAUAUUUCACAAUUCUUUUUCAGCACCAAGUGAGACUGAAAAUAUAAUAAAAUGAAUUAAAAUGUAAAAAA